CGGACUCUGCGGACUGGGCAACCUCCGCUCAUCUUCCCAUUGGGCCUCCAGCACCCGCGCGUUCUCCCGCCCCCUCCUCGGGGUCAUUUUUCCUGACCCUCUCCGCUGACCUUUCCUCACUCCUCGGGUGAGGCAGUUCUCCUGGAAGCGAAGGUUAUGAGCCGGAGCCUCCUUCCUGGAAUUUCUCUGUGGAGGACCCUCCUCGUCCCCCGGCAUCAGGGUGAAUGCCCGGCACCGGUGCAUGACAACCCCGUCCCGAAGGAAUGCAUUCGGGGGCCGACGCCAUGCGCGGCCCGGGACCCCUGGUUCCCCGGAUCCUCCAAUGUGGGCAUCAACCGGUCGCGAUUUUUGCUUCAAUCUUGAUGCCAGUCUACGAAAAUUAAACUCCCGUCUGUUCCUGAUUCGUGGACAACCAGCAGAUGUGCUUCCCAGGCUUUUCAAGGAAUGGAACAUGACUGACCUUCCAAUUGAAUAUGAUUCUGAGCCCUCUGGCAAGGAACGAGAUGCCGCUAUUAAGAAACUGGCAGCUGACACUGGAGUAGAAGUCAUUGUAAGAAUUCCACGUACAUUAUAUGACCUAGACAAGAUCAUGGAACUCAAUGGUGGACAACUGCCUCUACCUUACCAGAGUCCAGACUCUCAUCAGCAAAAUGGAACCUCUAGAGAUACCAGCUCCCUCGGUUUCAACAACAAUUACUUCAGAAGGGAUACAGAAGUGCACAACUCCUCUGUCUGAUGAUCAUAAUGAGAAAUAUGGAGUCUCUUCACUGGGGGAGCUCGGUUUUGAUACAGAUUAUCCUCUGCAGUGUGGCCAGCCGAAGAAAUUGAAGCACUUACUCAUUUGGAAAGAAAAGCUUGGGUGGCAAACUUUGAAAGACCUUGAAUAAAUGCAAACUCUGCUGGAAAGUCCUACUGGACUUGGUCCUUAUCUCCGAUUUGGCUGUUUGUCAUGUCGGCUGUUUUACUUUCAACAGAUCUCUACCAAAGGGUAAAGAAGAGCAGUUCCCUUCCCCUUUCCCUUUAUGGGAAACUGCUAUGGCGUGAGUUUUUCUACACAGCAGCAACAAAUAAUCCACGCUUCGAUAAAAUGGAAGGAAACCCUAUCUGUGUUCAGAUUCCUUGGGAUAAAAAUUCUCAGGCUUUAGCCAAAUGGGCAGAAGGCGGGACAGGCUUUCCCUGGAUUGAUGCCAUUGUGACUCAGCUUCCUCAGGAGGGCUGGAUUCAUCAUCUAGCCAGGCAUGCAGUUGCUUGCUUCCUGACACGGGGAACCUGUGGAUUAGUUGGGAAGAAGGAAUGAAGGUAUUUGAAGAAUGAUUGCUUGAUGCAGAUUGGAGCAUAAAUGCUGGAAGUUGGAUGUGGCUGUCUUGUAAUUCCUUUUUCAACAGUUUUUUCACUGCUAUUGCCCUGUUGGUUUUGGUAGGAGAACAGAUCCUAAUGGAGACUAUAUCAGGUGUUAUUUGCCUGUCCUAAGAGGCUUCCCUGCAAAAUAUAUCGAUGAUCCCUGGAAUGCACCAGAAGGUAUCCAAAAGGUAGCCAAAUGUUUGAUAGGAGUUAAUUAUCCUAAACCAGUGGUGAAGCAUGCUGAGGCAAGUCGUUUGAAUAUUGAAAGAAUGAAACAGAUCUAUCAGCAGCUUUCACAAUAUAGAGGACUAGGUCUUCUAGCUUCAGUACCUUCUAAUCCUAGUAGGAAUGAAAGCUCCAUGGGAUAUUCUACAGAAAAUAUCCCAGACUGUAGCAGCAGUGGAUGUUGCUCUCAGGGGAGUGGUAUUUUACACUGUGCCCAUGGCGACAUUCAGCAAACUCACCUAUUGAAGCAAGGAAGAAGGUCCAUGAGCACUGGUCUUAGUGGUGGGAAACAUCCUAGUCAGGAAGAGGACACACAGAGACAGCACUAGUUAGAAAACUUUUAGGAGAAAUACUAUUGCAGCUGAAAUUGGUGGGGAGUUCAAUACUUUUCAAUUAAGUUAUUUAAAAAUAUUCUUCAUUGAUGGAAAGCAGUUCCAUACUGAAAUGUGUUGUUUCAAAUGACAUUUCUGUGGUUUUUAACUUUUUAAUGAAUUUCACAAAAAACAAGUGGUAAUUUGUGUAUAAAGAACUUGGCAAGAUAAUUUGCUUAAUAUAAAUAUAAAUAGUCACAAUUAGUAUAGACCCGUCAGUAUAUUUUUGAUAAGUUUUCAUGUAUGGUAAAAGUUAAAAUGAGAAAUUGAUAUUCUGAUAUAAAACUGAAAGUUUUGACAGUCAGUGGGAAAAAAAGAGGUUUUAGACUUUCUUAAUAGACUGUUACAAUUUUAGUACAAAAUUUUCUUAACAUUGUUGUUUGAUCUAACUUUGCACUCUUUCAUAAUAAUGUUUUGGAUAAUGUGCAUAAUCAAAAUUGGUAUUGUAGCCUCUGUUAACACAGUAUAUGUUUUAAACUUUCACGUAAACCUUUUUUGACCCAAACCUGUGGAAGUAUGGUGUAUUAAGUUCUCUUUGUCUGUUUCUUUGUUGAUUGAUUACUAAAAUGACCUUGUUAUUAAAUAUGUGCAAAUAUGAAAAAAA